rnacentral:rRNA from 1 species
CCCUUCGAUGUUCUGGGCUGCACGCGCGCUACACUGAUAAAGUCAACGAGUUUACAACCUUUUCUGAAAGGAAUGGGUAAUCUUUUGAAACUUUAUCGUGAUGGGGAUAGAAGAUUGCAAUUAUUUUUCUUGAACGAGGAAUGCCUAGUAAUAGUGGUUCAUCAGACCGCUGUGAUUACGUCCCUGCCCUUUGUACACACCGCCCGUCGCUCCUACCGAUUGGGUGUGCUGGUGAAAUGUUCGGAUCGGCCGUUUGUCGCGGUUUCCGCGUCAUGUGGCUGAGAAGUUCAUUAAACCCUCCCACCUAGAGGAAGGAGAAGUCGUAACA